UGCUUAUAUGCAUUAAAUAAAAAAAUACAAAACUUCAUGCACCGCAUGCAGUUUUCUGCAUAUGAUCAGAAAUAUAGGGUUCGAGUAUACAGGGGGGCUAGCAAGAAAUUAAAUAACAUUAUACGUAAUGAAAC